rnacentral:lncRNA from 1 species
UUCCAGCUUGGGACUUGAAUGUGAUGGCUGCAACUCAGUCAUCUCUGCCUAUCAGAUCACCCUAAGGAUGGAAGCUACACAGUAAGGAUAAUAAGAGUUGAAAGAUAGCAGUCUGGAUGCCCUGUGCAGCUCCUGCCAUCACAGGGAAAGACAAAUGGCUCCUGUUUAUGAGUCCUCAUUGCGUGCAGUCAGGGUCGCUGUGAAGAGCUGCCGAGGCCGUGGCUGAUCACGUAGAAUGUGAAGAGCACCUUGUAGAAUUGUGUAAGGUGGCAGCCACUCGGCUGACUGCUUGUUUCCUCCUUGCAAUGAGCCCCAGGGAACUUUGUGGGACUGAAGUGUGUGUGGCGGGGGAGAGCCAGUGGCUCUGGUUUGGCAAGAUUGCUGCAUUCCCGAGUUCCUGAGACAUUUGCAUCGAAUUAACUCUGAAAUUUCAAGGUCGUGACCCAGGAGAGGAUGCCUGACCCAGGAAUGAAAACUGGAAG